UUCAAGGGGAAAUGUUGGCAUACAAUAAAUACAUAUUUUUUCUUUUUUUAAGAAAUUAUUAUAAUCGAAACAUUUCUAAUCAUCAUAACUGGAAAGAAAAUGACAUGGCAAAGGGUUAAUGAUAUUUAUCUUGAUAACUAUCUUUUCGAUUGUACAACUCCUUCCUGACGAUAAAUUCCAAAAAAAGUGUCACGUACCUAUGUAUCGCACAUGUGACAGCGCAACGUCAGUCGUAUCGUUUACUGAGCACUGUGUCCUCUUACGGCACGUGGGAAAAAUAACUAUCAUAUGUAAUUUCUGUAGGUCACUAUAACCUCAAAACAUCGCAUUAUGCAUAAUCAAUCUGUGAGAAGUAGCUUUUGAACGGAGCCAAUAGUAUUAAGAUAUCGUAGUCGGGCCUUCGUUCGUUUUUUAUUACUGACGAAAUGGCAAUUAUGAAGAUACUGCUACGACCAGACAUCGCGAGGUUUACAGUUGUCAGACAUUUAAGUUUGAAGCCAAAGUUUGGUUUACUAUUCGAUAUAGAUGGUGUGAUAGUACGUGGUAAGAAUGUAUUGCCACCUGUACCAGAGGCCUUCAAACGACUCCAAGGAAAAGAUGGAAAGUUCUGUGUACCAACCGUAUUUGUCACCAACAGUGGAAAUGCCUUGCGUAGCCAGAAGGCAGAAGACCUAUCCAAAUGGAUAGGGUUCGAAGUAAAGGAGUCACAAGUGGUGAUGGCACACUCGCCGUUGAGAUUGUUCCAGCAGUAUCACAAUAAACGUGUCUUAAUAUCUGGUCAAGGUCCAAUUAGAGAAAUAGCCCAAGAGUUGGGCUUCCAUAAUACCAUAACUAUCGAAGAAUUAGUAAAAAAUUUUCCAUCGCUGGACUAUGUGAACAUGGAAAAGAGAAAUCCAUUAUGCGGUCCUGUAGAUCCAAACUUUCCUACCAUCGAGGGUAUUGUGUUGUUCAGCGAGCCAAUUUCUUGGGAAACUCCGUUACAAUUGAUGGUGGAUUUGCUGUUGACUAAUGGCAUGCCUACUUCCUUGCCGGAUGAAAUUCCUUAUCCUAACAUUCCAGUUUUGGCAUGUAACAUGGACCUGUUGUGGGUAUCCGAAGCGUUGAUUCCCAGAUACGGGCACGGUGCCUUCUUAUUAUGUCUGGAAUCGCUUUACAAGAAGAUCACAGGAAAGGACAUGGUAUAUUCUGCUCUAGUCGGGAAGCCUUCCCAAGUUACCUACUAUCACGCGAAUCAUAUGCUCCGGGAGCAUGCUGAAAGUAUUGGAAUAAGUCAUAACGUUGACACGAUAUAUGCUAUUGGUGACAACAUCAACACUGACAUUUUUGGUGCAAAUUUGUAUGAUAAGUAUCUGUCCCGUUGCGGAAUGAAGGAUACCCUCGCGCCUCAGAAACUUCAGAAACUGCUUGGUAGGGAUGUAGAGCUGCCCAGCGCGAAAGCUUGUAUCAGUAUUUUAGUUGAAACUGGGGUCCAUCGACGAGAUUCCAGCUACGUAGCAGAUCACUGUCCCAGAGAUUUCUUACCAGUCGACGACAGCUUAUGUAAACCAGCGUUCGUAGUGAAAGACGUUGGCGAAGCUAUCAAUCUAGCGUUCAAAGAGGAGAAAUUCGACUGAAGAUGGUGUACAUAGGAUGUAAUUUAGCCUUGGAGUGUUCAGAUUCUCACGUUGGUUAAGAAACAAAGAAACAAUGUAGAUUGACUUCGCUAACGUAAGUAUUACACACACUUUCGUUUAGCUAUGUUCUAAAGCCAGAUAGCAAGAUUGAUAGGGGGAUAGGAGGCAGCGACAGAUAGCUACGAUAUACAUAUUUUUCUUUUUUUCUUUAUGACAUUUGUUUUUCGACAUUUCUUCCUAUCGAAGAAUAUUAUCAUUGUAAUCGUACGGCUAGCACACCAGAUGAAACUAAAGAACGGUCUUAGAUGUAUCGCGGAUUUUUAUGUAUAUUUAUCUCUUAUGAUUUACGUUCAAGAGUAUUAUAUUUAAAAGAAUGUUCGGAUAUUUAUGUAUAUACCAGUAGGCGCUCGAUAAGUAGCCUCCCGCUAACACGCGCGCUUUCUGUUUUAUUGAAAUGUUUUAGCACAUAUUUCAAACGGAUAAUUUUGUGAAUAAAUUUCAAGAAACCAUUGUAUAAGUAGCCGCGUUCCAGAAGUCCUUAAAUAUAGCUGCUGAUCGAGCGUCCGCUAUACAUGCAUGUAUAGGCAACUCUUAGUUGAACUUUUACUUUUGUUAUAGAAUUAAUCGUUGCGUUCAUCGAUUUCGACAUCCCGUUUUUAUCUAUGCCGAUUUAUAAUUUGAUUACGCUAUCGACGACGAUGAUCAUGCUAAAUGCCAGUUACCGUCUAUUUGUUUUUAUUGUUCGGGAAACUGUAAUCGCAGAUACAAGAGCUGAACGAUUCGUGAUCUCAUCAGUGUUCAACUAUCUGCGCGUGAUCCAAGAUCCAUCGUUUUGAGCGUUCUUCGCCAAAUACCGCUUUGUACAUUAAACCUGAUCUAGUCCUACAAGACAGUUUCCACCGUCUGCCAGCGGUCACGAAACACGUGUCGGCGUGGACGAUGUAGAACUGCGAACGGUCAGCCACAAAAGCUUUCUUUGUCGGAACGGAACAGUGGAGGAAGCAGUGGAACGCAAGUAUCUGGACGCACACACGAAACUGUAAUAUUGUACAAGACAUUGAAUACGCACACAGCCUAUCCAGCUGCCGACAGAUAGAUGCACACAGAAGCGAUCCAGAUGUCCGCUGAGACGAAGACUGACCGCCAUACAAGCAAAAUCAAAUCGUCAACCGCUUGCAGAACUAGUCCGUGAUUUGCGUUAACUUUAGCGAGUCGGGGAGAAACGAGGGAAUCAAUGGCUGACCUUCUUCGAGGUUGCCGAGUUCGAACUGUGUCCUUCAGUUUAUUUCCAAAAAAUCAUUAUCAGGUCUCGAACAAUGAAUCCUGCUUAAGCUGUACUUACGCGUAUCUAUCGCACCACUGUCAAUUAAAGACAGAGACACGGAGCAGUAGAGUCUCAGGUGGGGACAGUUUUGCCGCAAUCGAUCAAAUUAGUUUGCUCUUGCUCCGACUUCGCUGGAUCAGCGAUGACGGAACAGAUCUUUUGAAGCACAGUUUUCACUCGGUACCUACGGAUCGAAUCAAUCUUGGAGAAAUCGUUGGUCCUCGAUAAUAGGGAUGGGACACUGUGAAUCUAGUAACUCUCCACGAAUAGCGAAGGACAAUUAUAAAAGCAGUUACUUAUACAUAUGUAGAGUAUUGCCAGUUCGAAGCAAUACGUAUGUUAUACAUAUUAUGUACAUGUAUAUAUGUACAUGGUGAGCCACUUAAACAUUUAAAUGUCUCUCUCUUGCGAACUAUAGUUCCGCGUAAGAGCUUCUCAGAGCGAAGUUAGGCAUCCUCGAGAAAACUCUGUCUUGUAAUAACGCGGCGAUAUUUCCGUUCGAUCCAAUUAAUUUUUAUUCUUACUUCUUCAGAUCUAUAAUCUCCUUCAAGAUCCAACUUUGUCCUUCCUUCCGUACAAACCUAAAUGACCCUGAACGAAGAUAGCCACGUGUUCUCCGCCGAGUGGCUGAUCCUGUGUAGCUCCUUCACCUCCUCUAUGGAAGCCACAGGCUGUGCCAAGGUCUUUCUCCCCCGAUCUUUCCGAUGUUCACCAAAAAGAUCCUCGGAAAGCAAAACCGGCCGAGGCGAACCAGAAUUGUUAAACGACACGCACAUAUCAGCGGAGAAGACACACGCGAAGAGACUCGAAAUUGUUCUGUUAAUCAUUCGAAACGAAUCUGUAUAGACUAGUCUAGUCUAGCUGAGCGACGCACAAAUCAUUGCUGGAUCCUCGCAGCACGCGAGGAUCAUGAACGAGCGAAGUUCGAUUAUUUUUGGCGAAAAGAAACGCGGUAUGCCAGCACUGGAAGCAUCGAACCGGCAAGAGCGACCAAUUUGAAACGUUUCCGCGCAAUUAUUCUCAGUCCUUUUAAAGCGUUCGAUGCUUCCAGCGUUGUAGAACAAUGUUCCUCGCAAUUUUUUGUAAAGCUUCGUAUUAAGGGAACGGACAAACAAAAAAUUGUUCAAACGUUCUAUCGGCAAGCUGACACUGAUUUCCAUCGCAUUCGGUUCUCCCUCUUUUCAGAUGGUCAGCAAAUCGAGUCCCUUCGAAAUGUCCUUUCCCGAAAGCGUUAAUUGUUUCGCGCUGAGAAAGUCCCAGAUUUUGUCGAGAAUGAUGACCGAAAAGGAGACCAACUCGUUGCUCCGUUCGAACGAACGAUCGUUUCCUUUGAACUCGAUGACGAGCUGAAAUAAGCGACAGACGAUGCCGAGUAAUAAAUGUGCGACGCGCUUGAUUUCUCGACACCCCGCCCCACUUUUUGGCAAUCGCAACAAUAAGUUGUAUUUGUAGAAACUAGAAGCAACGAAAUACACGACAUAUAUUUUUCGUUAA